GCUCAGAACUAACGCUGGCGGCGCGUCUUAAGCAUGCAAGUCGGACGGGAGCCCUGGGGGGUACCCCUGGGGUGAGAGUGGCGAACGGGUGAGUAACACGUAGGUGAUCUAUCCCUGGGUGGGGAAUAGCCCAUGGAAACAUGGGGUAAUACCGCAUAAGGUCUGGAUCGUACGCGGUCUGGAUGAAGGGAGCAAUUGUUCCGCCUGGGGGUGAGCCUGCGGCCCAUUAGCUAGUUGGUGAGGUAAGGGCCCACCAAGGCGACGAUGGAUAGCCGGCCUGAGAGGGUGAACGGCCACACUGGAACUGAGACACGGUCCAGACUCCUACGGGAGGCAGCAGCUAAGAAUCUUCCGCAAUGGCCUAAACCCUGACCGAGCGACGCCGCUGUGGACGAAGAAGGCCGUGAGGUUGUAAAGUCCUUUUCUUGGCGAAGAAUAACGGUAGGGAGUGGAAAGCCCUGCUUGGAUGACGUUAGUCAAGGAAUAAG
rnacentral:rRNA from 1 species